rnacentral:rRNA from 1 species
ACGGUGGAUGCCCUGGCAGUCAGAGGCGAUGAAGGGCGUGCUAAUCUGCGAUAAGCGCCGGUAAGGUGAUAUGAACCGUUAUAACCGGCGAUACCCGAAUGGGGAAACCCAGUGUGACUCGUCACACUAUCAUUAACUGAAUCCAUAGGUUAAUGAGGCGAACCGGGGGAACUGAAACAUCUAAGUACCCCGAGGAAAAGAAAUCAACCGAGAUUCCCCCAGUAGCGGCGAGCGAACGGGGAGGAGCCCAGAGCCUGAAUCAGCAUGUGUGUUAGUGGAAGCGUCUGGAAAGGCGCGCGAUACAGGGUGACAGCCCCGUACACAAAAGCGCAUGUGCUGUGAGCUCGAUGAGUAGGGCGGGACACGUGGUAUCCUGUCUGAAUAUGGGGGGACCAUCCUCCAAGGCUAAAUACUCCUGACUGACCGAUAGUGAACCAGUACCGUGAGGGAAAGGCGAAAAGAACCCCGGCGAGGGGAGUGAAAAAGAACCUGAAACCGUGUACGUACAAGCAGUGGGAGCACCCUUUGGGUGUGACUGCGUACCUUUUGUAUAAUGGGUCAGCGACUUAUAUUCUGUAGCAAGGUUAACCGAAUAGGGGAGCCGGAGGGAAACCGAGUCUUAAUUGGGCGUUAAGUUGCAGGGUAUAGACCCGAAACCCGGUGAUCUAGCCAUGGGCAGGUUGAAGGUUGGGUAACACUAACUGGAGGACCGAACCGACUAAUGUUGAAAAAUUAGCGGAUGACCUGUGGCUGGGGGUGAAAGGCCAAUCAAACCGGGAGAUAGCUGGUUCUCCCCGAAAGCUAUUUAGGUAGCGCCUCGUGAAUUCAUCUCCGGGGGUAGAGCACUGUUUCGGCUAGGGGGCCAUCCCGGCUUACCAACCCGAUGCAAACUGCGAAUACCGGAGAAUGUUAUCACGGGAGACACACGGCGGGUGCUAACGUCCGUCGUGAAGAGGGAAACAACCCAGACCGCCAGCUAAGGUCCCAAAGUCAUGGUUAAGUGGGAAACGAUGUGGGAAGGCCCAGACAGCCAGGAUGUUGGCUUAGAAGCAGCCAUCAUUUAAAGAAAGCGUAAUAGCUCACUGGUCGAGUCGGCCUGCGCGGAAGAUGUAACGGGGCUAAACCAU